GAUUUUAAGAAUCAGGUUAAUAUUAAUGUAAGUUGACUUUUAGGCCAGUUUACUCUUUAAGCCACUUGUCAAAUGAUAGCAAAAGUUAAAAAUAUAGCAGGUAAGCUAAAGCAUAAUUCUUAAGAGGACUUCCAGGAGUGGCCGUCCUUUUUGCAUAGGGCAAAGAUUCACAUAUUUUGCAUGGUGAGCAUGCAAAUAAAUGCACAAUGCAUUUUUUUUUUGCACGUUAUACUCAAAAUAUUAAAAACUCAACUGAAAGUGUUUAUCAAUAAACUUCGUAAGUAAUGUUGAAAUGUUUACACUACCCUGCUCCAAAAUGAGUCAGCUAAAUUCCACUUACUAUUUAAAGAGAUGGUGUUAACUAAAUUAGUACUGUUGUCUGAAGUAAGUUGCAAAUAUUGGUCAAUUUCCAUGCAAGCUUCAUUGGCUUAAAAUAUUUUCAAGCUUGUAAUAUGUCUUUUUGCUAACAAAAGGAAAGAUUACUAUCAUUUAAAUGGUUGGGGGAAUAAUUGUCAGGAU
rnacentral:lncRNA from 1 species